rnacentral:tRNA from 1 species
CGGGGCGUAGCUCAGGCAGGUCAGAGCGCCCGGUUUGGGACCGGGAGGUUCGCCGGUUCAAGUCCGGCCGCCCCGA